UACAGAGGUCCCGAGCGUUGUUCGGAUUCACUGGGCGUAAAGGGGGCGUAGGUGGCGGGGUAAGUCGGAUGUGAAAGCUCGGAGCUCAACUCCGAAAUGGCAUUGGAAACUACCUUGCUCGAGGGUUGGAGGGGGGACUGGAAUACUUGGUGUAGCAGUGAAAUGCGUAGAUAUCAAGUGGAACACCAGUGGCGAAGGCGAGUCCCUGGACAACUCCUGACACUGAGGCACGAAAGCUAGGGGAGCAAACAGG
rnacentral:rRNA from 1 species